AUUGAACGCUGGCGGCAGGCUUAACACAUGCAAGUCGAGCGGAGAGAGGUAGCUUGCUACUGAUCUUAGCGGCGGACGGGUGAGUAAUGCUUAGGAAUCUGCCUAUUAGUGGGGGACAACAUUUCGAAAGGAAUGCUAAUACCGCAUACGUCCUACGGGAGAAAGCAGGGGAUCUUCGGACCUUGCGCUAAUAGAUGAGCCUAAGUCGGAUUAGCUAGUUGGUGGGGUAAAGGCCUACCAAGGCGACGAUCUGUAGCGGGUCUGAGAGGAUGAUCCGCCGCACUGGGACUGAAACACGGCCCAGACUCCUACGGGAGGCAGCAGUGGGGAAUAUUGGACAAUGGGCGGAAGCCUGAUCCAGCCAUGCCGCGUGUGUGAAGAAGGCCUUAUGGUUGUAAAGCACUUUAAGCGAGGAGGAGGCUACUUUAGUUAAUACCUAGAGAUAGUGGACGUUACUCGCAGAAUAAGCACCGGCUAACUCUGUGCCAGCCGCCGCAGUAA
rnacentral:rRNA from 1 species